CAAUAGCGUAUAUUUAAGUUGCUGCAGUUAAAAAGCUCGUAGUUGGAUUUCGGGUGGGAAAGGCCGGUCCGCCGUUUCGGUGUGCACUUGCUACGCCCACCUUGCUGCCGGGGACGUGCUCUUGAGUUCACGCUCGGGACACGGAGUCGGCGAGGUUACUUUGAGUAAAUUAGAGUGUUCAAAGCAGGCCUACGCUCUGAAUACAUUAGCAUGGAAUAACACGAUAGGACUCUGGCCUAUCUUGUUGGUCUGUAGGACCGGAGUAAUGAUUAAGAGGGACAGUCGGGGGCAUUCGUAUUUCAUUGUCAGAGGUGAAAUUCUUGGAUUUAUGAAAGACGAACUACUGCGAAAGCAUUUGCCAAGGAUGUUUUCAUUAA
rnacentral:rRNA from 1 species